rnacentral:rRNA from 1 species
GAUGAACGCUGGCGGCGUGCCUAAUACAUGCAAGUCGAGCGAACAGACGAGGAGCUUGCUCCUCUGACGUUAGCGGCGGACGGGUGAGUAACACGUGGAUAACCUACCUAUAAGACUGGGAUAACUUCGGGAAACCGGAGCUAAUACCGGAUAAUAUAUUGAACCGCAUGGUUCAAUAGUGAAAGACGGUUUUGCUGUCACUUAUAGAUGGAUCCGCGCCGCAUUAGCUAGUUGGUAAGGUAACGGCUUACCAAGGCAACGAUGCGUAGCCGACCUGAGAGGGUGAGCGGCUACACUGGAACUGAGACACGGUCCAGACUCCUACGGGAGGCAGCAGUAGGGAAUCUUCCGCAAUGGGCGAAAGCCUGACGGAGCAACGCCGCGUGAGUGAUGAAGGUCUUCGGAUCGUAAAACUCUGUUAUUAGGGAAGAACAAAUGUGUAAGUAACUAUGCACGUCUUGACGGUACCUAAUCAGAAAGCCACGGCUAACUACGUG